GUUUCAUUGUCUGUGCCUGGCUCUGUGCAGUGGGAAAGCCUUCCCUUUCCAGUGCAAAGCAAAAUCACAGCAACAUAAUGGGAUUCGCAGGCAGUCUCCUAUCCAGGCCAGAGUUAGAUCUCACCAGACUGAGAUGUGCAAAAGAUCACCAAAGAGGCUGUGCCAUAUGUCUUCAGACCAAAUCCUGGAAGGAUGCUGGGUAUUCAGAGUAAAAUGAUUUGGGAUUAGCAACGGCCAGGCAACAAGAAUCCACAGGAAACCAUUUGUAGUGUUUAUAAUAAAAUGACGAUUUCUGGCAAACUAGCCAACUCAUCAUAUAAACUCCUCAUAUACCAGAUCUGUUCUUAUUCACAUGUUCCACUAGAUGGCAACAUAUAAAACAGGAUGCAUUUGCUUCUAAUGGUCAAACGUUAGGACACAAAAAGUUUGCUUCGGAAUACAGGCCAGCGCAAAGCAAGCUGAGUGACAAAUGGGAUGGGA